AAAAGCUCAAAUUUAAAAUCUGGCGGCCUUGGUCGUCCGAGUUGUAGUCUGGAGAAGUGCUUUCCGCGCUGGACCGUGUACAAGUCUCUUGGAACAGAGCGUCAUAGAGGGUGAGAAUCCCGUCUUUGACACGGACUACCAGUGCUUUGUGAUGCGCUCUCAAAGAGUCGAGUUGUUUGGGAAUGCAGCUCAAAAUGGGUGGUAAAUUCCAUCUAAAGCUAAAUAUUGGCGAGAGACCGAUAGCGAACAAGUACCGUGAGGGAAAGAUGAAAAGCACUUUGGAAAGAGAGUUAAACAGUACGUGAAAUUGCUGAAAGGGAAACGCUUGAAGUCAGUCGCGUCUGCCGGAACUCAGCCUUGCUUUUGCUUGGUGCACUUUCCGGUUGACGGGCCAGCAUCGAUUUUGACCGGCGGAAAAGGGUUGGAGAAAUGUGGCACCUCCGGGUGUGUUAUAGUCUCUGGUCGCAUACGUCGGUUGGGAUCGAGGAACGCAGCGCGCCGCAAGGCAGGGGUUCGCCCACUUUCGCGCUUAGGAUGCUGGCAUAAUGGCUUUAAACGACCCGUCUUGAAACACGGACCAAGGAGUCUAACAUACCUGCGAGUGUUUGGGUGGAAAACCCGAGCGCGCAAUGAAAGUGAAAGUUGAGACCUCUGUCGUGGAGGGCAUCGACGCCCGGACCUGACGUUCUCUGACGGAUCCGCGGUAGAGCAUGUAUGUUGGGACCCGAAAGAUGGUGAACUAUGCCUGAAUAGGGUGAAGCCAGAGGAAACUCUGGUGGAGGCUCGUAGCGAUUCUGACGUGCAAAUCGAUCG
rnacentral:rRNA from 1 species